UGAGGAAUAUUGGUCAAUGGGCGAGAGCCUGAACCAGCCAAGUCGCGUGAAGGAAGACAGUCCUAAGGAUUGUAAACUUCUUUUAUACGGGAAUAACGGGCGAUACGAGUAUUGCAUUGAAUGUACCGUAAGAAUAAGCAUCGGCUAACUCCGUUCCAGCAGCCGCGGUAAUACGGAGGAUGCGAGCGUUAUCCGGAUUUAUUGGGUUUAAAGGGUGCGUAGGUUGUUCGGUAAGUCAGCGGUGAAACCUGAGCGCUCAACGUUCAGCCUGCCGUUGAAACUGCCGGGCUUGAGUUCAGGGGCGGCAGGCGGAAUUCGUGGUGUAGCGGUGAAAUGCAUAGAGAUCACGAGGAACUCCGAUUGCGAAGGCAGCUUGCCAUACUGCGACUGACACUGAAGCGCGAAGGCGUGGGUAUCAAACAGG
rnacentral:rRNA from 1 species